rnacentral:rRNA from 1 species
UAGCCGUAAACGAUACUCGCUAGGUGUCGGCCACGGUGCGACCGUUGUCGGUGCCGUAGGGAAGCCGUGAAGCGAGCCACCUGGGAAGUACGGCCGCAAGGCUGAAACUUAAAGGAAUUGGCGGGGGAGCACCACAACGGGUGGAGCUUGCGGUUUAAUUGGAUUCAACGCCGGAAAUCUUACCGGGACUGACAGCAACAUGAAGGCCAGGCUGAAGACUUUGCCGGAUUAGCUGAGAGGAGGUGCAUGGCGUAGUCGUGU